rnacentral:rRNA from 1 species
UACAGAGGGGCAAGCGUUGUUCGGAAUUACUGGGCGUAAAGGGCGCGUAGGCGGCCUUCUAAGUCGAACGUGAAAUCCCCGGGCUCAACCCGGGAACUGCGUCCGAUACUGGAAGGCUUGAAUCCGGGAGAGGGAUGCGGAAUUCCAGGUGUAGCGGUGAAAUGCGUAGAUAUCUGGAGGAACACCGGUGGCGAAGGCGGCAUCCUGGACCAACACUGACACUGAGGAGCGAAAGCCAGGGGAGCAAACGGG